rnacentral:lncRNA from 1 species
GGUCUCCUGUACAGUGAGGCCGGUGAAAGUGGAAUCUUAAGCUCCCCAGGGCACUGCAUUGUGUGAGCUUCAGGAGCUCAGAGGCGAAGCUGGUGACAUUUCACUUACCAUUUGGCUGUGUAAAAUGACCCAGUCUAGGGCAGGAAAGCUAUCUGCCUAGGAUUGAGACUGAGAAGAGUGGUCAGGAGUGGUUACCUGGUUGCAGCUUUUCUUUUUAAAUUUGGUGUAAAUGCGUGACUGCACUUAGCUGUGAGGCAGGUUGAUUCCUACCCAGGUAACACUAGGUCAUGGUACUGCUUUGAACCAUAGUCUCCUCUUUCCUUUUGCUGACCUCAGGCACCACACAGUCACUCGAGGCAUCACCAAAGGUGUGAAGGAGGACUUCCGCCUGGCCAUGGAGCGCCAGGUCUCCCGCUGUGGUGAGAACCUGAUGGUGGUCCUGCAUCGCUUCUGCAUUAAUGAGAAGAUCCUGCUCCUGCAGACUCUGACCUGAUCGACCUCCCUCCUGGCCACCAGCAGCUCAGCUGGGACAAGCGCUGCCAGACCAGGGCUGGGGAAGAAGGAAGACACCAAGUUCUAACUCCCUUAGUUGCUUCAAAGUUAUCCCAAGAGUUAGGGAGUUGUUUCUAUUUUUAAGACUUCGGGUUUUUUAAUUUGUACAAAAUAAGAGUCAAUCCAUUUUGUAAAUAAAAAUCCUAAAAGUUUGAAGUUUGGAAAAAAACCUU